rnacentral:rRNA from 1 species
CAGAGGUCCCGAGCGUUGUUCGGAUUCACUGGGCGUAAAGGGUGCGUAGGUGGCAUGGAAAGUUUGAUGUGAAAGCUCAGGGCUUAACCCUGAAAUGGCAUUGAAUACUGCUGUGCUGGAGGUUUGGAGGGGGGACUGGAAUUCUUGGUGUAGCAGUGAAAUGCGUAGAUAUCAAGAGGAACACCAGUGGCGAAGGCGAGUCCCUGGACAACACCUGACACUGAGGCACGAAAGCUAGGGGAGCAAACAGGAUUAGAUACCCUGGUAGUCCUAGCCCUAAACGGUGCGUGUUUGCUGUAAAAGGAAUCGACCCCUUUUGUGGCGAAGCUAACGCGUUAAACACGCCGCCUGGGGAGUACGGUCGCAAGAUUA